GUCUCUGUGGCUCAGUUGGUAGAGCGUUGGUCUCAUAUUCAGUUCGUUGAAAUGACUCUGGAACAAACUCCAGGGACAUCCAAAGGUCGCAAGUUCGAGCCUUGCCAGGGACA
rfam:Colletotrichum tofieldiae strain 0861 Ct_v4_contig14, whole genome shotgun sequence.